UGAGGAAUAUUGGUCAAUGGGCGAGAGCCUGAACCAGCCAAGUAGCGUGCAGGAUGACGGCCCUAUGGGUUGUAAACUGCUUUUAUGUGGGGAUAAAGUGCGUGACGUGUCAUGCAUUGCAGGUACCACAUGAAUAAGGACCGGCUAAUUCCGUGCCAGCAGCCGCGGUAAUACGGAAGGUCCGGGCGUUAUCCGGAUUUAUUGGGUUUAAAGGGAGCGUAGGCUGUCUAUUAAGCGUGUUGUGAAAUCUACCGGCUCAACCGGUGGCUUGCAGCGCGAACUGGUCGACUUGAGUAUGCAGGAAGUAGGCGGAAUUCAUGGUGUAGCGAUGAAAUGCUUAGAUAUCAUGACGAACUCCGAUUGCGCAGGCAGCUUACUGUAGCAUAACUGACGCUGAUGCUCGAAAGUGCGGGUAUCAAACAGG
rnacentral:rRNA from 1 species